UACAGAGGGGGCAAGCGUUGUUCGGAAUUACUGGGCGUAAAGGGCGCGUAGGCGGCCUUCUAAGUCGAACGUGAAAUCCCCGGGCUCAACCCGGGAACUGCGUCCGAUACUGGAAGGCUUGAAUCCGGGAGAGGGAUGCGGAAUUCCAGGUGUAGCGAUGAAAUGCGUAGAUAUCUGGAGGAACACCGGUGGCGAAGGCGGCAUCCUGGACCGGCAUUGACGCUGAGGCGCGAAAGCCAGGGGAGCAUACGGG
rnacentral:rRNA from 1 species